rnacentral:rRNA from 1 species
UACGAAGGGGGCUAGCGUUGUUCGGAAUUACUGGGCGUAAAGCGCACGUAGGCGGAUACUUAAGUCAGGGGUGAAAUCCCGGGGCUCAACCCCGGAACUGCCUUUGAUACUGGGUAUCUCGAGUCCGGAAGAGGUGAGUGGAAUUCCGAGUGUAGAGGUGAAAUUCGUAGAUAUUCGGAGGAACACCAGUGGCGAAGGCGGCUCACUGGUCCGGUACUGACGCUGAGGUGCGAAAGCGUGGGGAGCGAACCGG